rnacentral:rRNA from 1 species
UACGAAGGGGCUAGCGUUGCUCGGAAUCACUGGGCGUAAAGGGUGCGUAGGCGGGUCUUUAAGUCAGGGUGAAAUCCUGGAGCUCAACUCCAGAACUGCCUUUGAUACUGAAGAUCUUGAGUUCGGAGAGGUGAGUGGAACUGCGAGUGUAGAGGUGAAAUUCGUAGAUAUUCGCAAGAACACCAGUGGCGAAGGCGGCUCACUGGCCCGAGUACUGACGCUGA